GGCGGUUACAACACAGUGGCAGUUGAAGGCAGGCACCCGCCUUUGCCAGUUAAGCGCUAAUUUUAAUACACAGAAAAAGACCUGUAACAGGCAAACGGCGCAGCGGAUCCGGGCAAGGAGUAAUCCAGAUAAAUAUUUUUUUGUUUAAAAAAGAACCAUCGGAGCUGCAACAGCAGGAAGAUCAGUGGCAGGCUAUGUUCACACGGUGGAAUGGCUGUCCAGAAAAUUUUACAUGCCCGCACUGGGACUGCUCAGAAAUAGAGAAAAUUCCGUAAAAAGAAGAAAUUGGAAUUUUCACCGCAGAGGUUUCCACCGUGGAAAUUUUGAGCAGAAUUUUUCCACCAGAUUCUGUUUGGAAAUUCUGCCAUGUGAAUAUAGUCUAAGAAGAGCAUUGUGCCAUUCCUCUGUUAAACUUCCUGGAAAUUAAUAAAUUAAUGAGA